UGGUGUCUCCAAUAUUUGUCUGUCCUUUCCCCUUUUGUAAUUUCCAAAGCAUUUGAUGGUGCACCCUUCUGUCCUUUUUAUUUCUCUUUUCCCUAACAAUGAAUUCAGCCAGUGAGAGGCUCCUGGUGUCAGCAUGACAGCGUGACUUUGGUCUUCAUUGGGAGCCUCCUCUGUACAUCCCAUAGCACCGCUAAAAUGCUCAACAAUUCCUAACUAUUCAGGAAGGAUAUCUAGCUGAUCCAGCAGCAUCUAGAGAUAACCCUGUUGGAGGGCCAUGUGGACAACUCUCCUGGGAAGAAGAGCAUUAUCUCCAUUCAGCUAAACCUGGCACUGUUUCCUUGAUUCAUAUGUACAGAGCUGGCUAGGGUUUUCCUUACCUUUCAGUUGGCUUUAAGCAAUGUAAAUCAGUCUGGCCAGGUGACAUGUGUAGUCUCUGAAGCAUGGUGACAGUCAGUGUUUCCUUGUCCCCAAGGCUCCCAAAAAACAUGUGUGAGUAGGGUGGGAGAGACAGCCAGGAUCCACACUGUCGGAGGGGGAUCAAGUCUCAAGAUAAGAGGCUGUGACUUCCCAGGGCACAAAAGAUUACACAUCAGAGCUGAAGCACUGACCCUGAAACAUUAGGUACUGCCUCAGACUGUGUUAUGGAGAUUAUUCCUUCUAUAUAUCCUUCUCUUUGUGUGUCCCAGAGGUGAUUUCAGGCCAGCUACCUAGCCCAGCUUACUCAUGUACUUUCCCCCACUCUACAGUUGCUCAUUCCUGAGUCACUCUUCUCAUCAAGAAUUAAUAAAACCUGGGUUUGACCUUG